GACGAACGCUGGCGGCGUGCUUAACACAUGCAAGUCGAACGGAAAGGCCCUGCUUUUGUGGGGUUCUCGAGUGGCGAACGGGUGAGUAACACGUGAGUAACCUGCCCUUGACUUUGGGAUAACUUCAGGAAACUGGGGCUAAUAUCGGAUAGGAUCUCCUGCUGCAUGGUGGGGGUUGGAAAGUUUCGGCGGUUGGGGAUGGACUCGCGGCUUAUCAGCUUGUUGGUGGGGUAGUGGCUUACCAAGGCUUUGACGGGUAGCCGGCCUGAGAGGGUGACCGGCCACAUUGGGACUGAGAGACGGCCCAGACUCCUACGGGAGGCAGCAGUGGGGAAUAUGGCACAAUGGGGGGAAGCCUGAUGCAGCAACCCCGCGUGCGGGAUGACGGCCUUCGGGUUGUAAACCGCUUUCGCCUGUGACGAAGCGUGAGUGACGGUAAUGGGUAAAGAAGCACCGGCUAACUACGUG
rnacentral:rRNA from 1 species